UGAGUACGAGUUUGACGUUCCGUCGGCUCGAGGACGAACGCUGGCGGCGUGCCUAACACAUGCAAGUCGAACGGGGUGGAGCCCUUCGGGACUCUACUUAGUGGCGAACGGGUGAGUAACGCGUGAGAAACCUGCCUUUCAGUGGGGGACAACAGUUGGAAACGACUGCUAAUACCGCAUAAUGUUAUUUAGGGGCAUCCCUGAAUAACCAAAGCUUUAUGUGCUGAAAGAUGGUCUCGCGUCUGAUUAGCUAGAUGGCGGGUAACGGCCCACCAUGGCGACGAUCAGUAGCCGGUCUGAGAGGGUGAUCGGCCACAUUGGGACUGAGACACGGCCCAGACUCCUACGGGAGGCAGCAGUGGGGAAUAUUGCACAAUGGGCGAAAGCCUGAUGCAGCAACGCCGCGUGAGCGAUGAAGGCCUUCGGGUCGUAAAGCUCUGUCCUCAAGGAAGAUAAUGACGGUACUUGAGGAGGAAGCCCCGGCUAACUACGUG
rnacentral:rRNA from 1 species